rnacentral:rRNA from 1 species
CUACGGGGGGCACCAGUGGGGAAUAUUGGACAAUGGACCAAAAGUCUGAUCCAGCAAUUCUGUGUGCACGAUGAAGGUCUUCGGAUUGUAAAGUGCUUUCAGUAGGGAAGAAGAAUGUGACGGUACCUACAGAAGAAGCGACGGCUAAAUACGUGCCAGCAGGCCGCGGUAAUACGUAUGUCGCAAGCGUUAUCCGGAAUUAUUGGGCAUAAAGGGCGUCUAGGUGGUUUACUAAGUCUGAUGUGAAAAUGCGGGGCUCAACUCCGUAUUGCGUUGGAAACUGGUGUACUAGAGUCUUGGAGAGGUGGGCGGAACUACAAGUGUAGAGGUGAAAUUCGUAGAUAUUUGUAGGAAUGCCGAUGACGAAGGUAGCUCACUGGACAAGUACUGACACUAAAGCGCGAAAGCUAGGGGAGCAAACAGGAUUAGAUACCCCGGUAGUC